GAUCACCUCCUUUGGAGUCUGGGAUUCGCAUACAUCAGUUUUUGAAGGAGUUUUGAGCACCACUUUACUUGACAAGUCACCCAUAUCUAUGCCAUCCAGUAGAUGGGUAUUCUGCACAUCGAUAUUUAUUGCGGAUUGUUUUGCAAUUUUAAUGUUCCCGGAUUUAAUUUAUUGAACACUUAAGUGGGGUUAUAUACACUAUCAUAUCUAUUUAGAAAUUAAAUUUUGUGUACGAGUAUGAUUAAUUAGUCAUUCAUGAUAUAGUUUUCAAAAUGAUACAAGAACGGUGCUGAUGUACAUAGAUAUUAAUCACUAUCUUAAAACUUUAUUAUUCUAAUAUUUAUAACUAGUAUAUAGAAAAUUUUGCUGGUAGUUUGCAUUAAACUGAGUAUGUACUGGACUUGCUGUUGGACCUAACUACUUCAUGACUUCAAAUUUUACAUUUUCUUUUGUUAUAAAUGAGUAAUUGAAGGGAACAAGUUCUCAAUAUUAUUAGCUCAAUGGUGGAUAUCAAGGCAAUAUAAACUGUCCCUAAAAUCAUUUGGCCAAAAUAAAAAAAGUCGCUUCAUUUUUGUGAUUUGUAAAUAUUCUACUUUUACCAGUGUUUGUCUUGGAGUAUAGUGCAAAUGUGGAAGCUAUCUAGCUGCACAAGUUAAAUGCUGAUAAAAGCCCUUUCCAGCUAACCUUUGUUAAUCAGGUGAAGCGAUGUGCAGAGAUGUCAAGAAAGCUGCGCUUUUUUAAGGAUCAAAUCAGUAAAGCUGGUCUGCUUGGGUCUAUACGUCCAGUUUCACAACCAGAUAUUGAGUUGGAGGAAUUAGAGUUUCAACUUGGUGAGCACGAACAUGAGCUAAUUGAAAUGAACUCUAAUAGUGAAAGACUUCGACAAUCAUACAAUGAGCUCCUGGAGUUCAAGAUGGUAUUACAAAAGGGGUUUUAAUCUUUCAGGGGUUUUGUUUGUGUUGGAGUUUCUGAUCGUAGUGAUCAAUUGGCCUGGUUUGAGUUUCGCAGCAGGAGAUAGUUUCUCUGUACGAGAGGUUCUGUCAGCUCGAUCAUAGUGGCGGAGGUACGUGACCUAAGGGCUGUAAGACAUCAUUUUGCUCUUUGUGCUGGCUUGCUGUAAGAAAAUGGAUCCUUAUUUACUGGCUAUCAUUUUCAUGGAUGCCCACAAUAGCAAAGACAAAUUUAAUCAUGCUUUGGGUUAUGCAUAUAUACUCACGCACCCCGGAAUACCUUCCGUCUUCGAUGACCACUUCUAUGAUUCGGGUGAUUCCAUUCAUGAUCAGAUUGUGAAACUGGUACAGCAGUAUGGCUAGCUAGUUCUUUUAUUAACUUGUGUCUAGUAGAAAUUCUUCCUUCUUUAAGCAUUUGGACUUGUCUGCAUGUCCAGAUUAGUAGAUAUGGGUCAUUUUGAAUUGAUAUUCAUGAUUAGGUUUGUGUA